rnacentral:rRNA from 1 species
GAUGAACGCUGGCGGCGUGCCUAAUACAUGCAAGUCGAGCGAACAGACGAGGAGCUUGCUCCUCUGACGUUAGCGGCGGACGGGUGAGUAACACGUGGAUAACCUACCUAUAAGACUGGGAUAACUUCGGGAAACCGGAGCUAAUACCGGAUAAUAUAUUGAACCGCAUGGUUCAAUAGUGAAAGACGGUUUUGCUGUCACUUAUAGAUGGAUCCGCGCCGCAUUAGCUAGUUGGUAAGGUAACGGCUUACCAAGGCAACGAUGCGUAGCCGACCUGAGAGGGUGAUCGGCCACACUGGAACUGAGGCACGGUCCAGACUCCUACGGGAGGCAGCAGUAGGGAAUCUUCCGCGAUGGACGAAAGCCUGACGGAGCAACGCCGCGUGAGUGAUGAAGGUCUUCGGAUCGUAAAACUCUGUUAUUAGGGAAGAACAAAUGUGUAAGUAACUAUGCACGUCUUGACGGUACCGAAUCAGAAAGCCACGGCUAACUACGUG